rnacentral:piRNA from 1 species
UUCAGUCACUGUGCCCACUGAAUGUAGGA